rnacentral:rRNA from 1 species
UAGGGAAUCUUCCGCAAUGGGCGAAAGCCUGACGGAGCAACGCCGCGUGAGUGAUGAAGGUCUUCGGAUCGUAAAACUCUGUUAUUAUGGAAGAACAUAUGUGUACGUCACUAUGCACGCCUUGCCGGUACCUAAUCAGAAAGCCACGGCUAACUCCGUGCCAGCAGCCGCGGUAAUACGUAGGUGGCAAGCGUUAUCCGGAUUUAUUGGGCGUAAAGCGCGCGUAGGCGGUUUUGUAAGUCUGAUGUGAAAGCCCACGGCUCAACCGUGGAGGGUAAUUGGAAACGGGAAAACUUGAGUGCGGAAGAGGAGAGUGGAAUUCCAUGUGUAGCGGUGAAAUGCGCAGAGAUAUGGAGGAACACCAGUGGCGAAGGCGACUUUCUGGUCUGUAACAGACGAUGAUGUGCGAAAGCGUGGGGAUCAAACAGG